AUUGAACGCUGGCGGCAGGCCUAACACAUGCAAGUCGAACGAGUGGCGGACGGGAGUGUAAUGUCUGGGAAACUGUCUGAUGGAGGGGGACAACUACUGGAAACGGUAUCUAAUACCGCAUACUAUCGUAUGUGCCCAUAUGGGAUUAGCUAGUAGGUGGGGUAACGUCUCACCUAGGCGACGAUCCCUAGCUGGUCUGAGAGGAUGACCAGCCACACUGGAACUGAGACACGGUCCAGACUCCUACGUGAGGCAGCAGUGGGGAAUAUUGCACAAUGGGCGCAAGCCUGAUGCAGCCAUGCCGCGUGUGUGAAGAAGGCCUUCGGGUUGUAAAGUACUUUCAGCGGGGAGGCGUUACCCGCAGAAGAAGCACCGGCUAACUCCGUGCCAGCAGCCGCGGUAAUAC
rnacentral:rRNA from 1 species